UGAGUAACACGUGGGUGAUCUGCCCUGCACUUUGGGAUAAGCCUGGGAAACUGGGUCUAAUACCGAAUAUACCCUGCUGGUCGCAUGGCCUGGUGGGGGAAAGCUUUUGCGGUGUGGGAUGGGCCCGCGGCCUAUCAGCUUGUUGGUGGGGUGAUGGCCUACCAAGGCGACGACGGGUAGCCGGCCUGAGAGGGUGACCGGCCACACUGGGACUGAGAUACGGCCCAGACUCCUACGGGAGGCAGCAGUGGGGAAUAUUGCACAAUGGGCGCAAGCCUGAUGCAGCGACGCCGCGUGAGGGAUGACGGCCUUCGGGUUGUAAACCUCUUUCAGCACAGACGAAGCGCAAGUGACGGUAUGUGCAGAAGAAGGACCGGCCAACUACGUGCCAGCAGCCGCGGUAAUACGUAGGGUCCGAGCGUUGUCCGGAAUUACUGGGCGUAAAGAGCUCGUAGGUGGUUUGUCGCGUUGUUCGUGAAAACUCACAGCUUAACUGUGGGCGUGCGGGCGAUACGGGCAGACUAGAGUACUGCAGGGGAGACUGGAAUUCCUGGUGUAGCGGUGGAAUGCGCAGAUAUCAGGAGGAACACCGGUGGCGAAGGCGGGUCUCUGGGCAGUAACUGACGCUGAGGAGCGAAAGCGUGGGGAGCGAACAGGAUUAGAUACCCUGGUAGUCCACGCCGUAAACGGUGGGUACUAGGUGUGGGUUUCCUUCCUUGGGAUCCGUGCCGUAGCUAACGCAUUAAGUACCCCGCCUGGGGAGUACGGCCGCAAGGCUAAAACUCAAAGGAAUUGACNGGGGCCCGCACAA
rnacentral:rRNA from 1 species